GCCUCGGUGGUGUAGUGGUAAAGCACGCGUUCCCCGGAUAGGAUGAAGCGAGGGUUCGAUUCCCGCCUGAGGCC